CCUACGGGCGGCUGCAGUGGGGAAUCUUGCGCAAUGGGCGGAAGCCUGACGCAGCGACGCCGCGUGCGGGAGGAAGGCCCUCGGGUCGUAAACCGCUUUCAGCAGGGACGAGGCCGCGAGGGGACGGUACCUGCAGAAGAAGCCCCGGCUAACUACGUGCCAGCAGCCGCGGUAAUACGUAGGGGGCGAGCGUUAUCCGGAUUCAUUGGGCGUGAAGCGCUCGUAGGCGGCCUGCCAGGUCGGGGGUCAAAUGCGGGGGCCCAACCCCCGGCCGCUCCCGAUACCGGCGGGCUUGAGUUUGGUAGGGGAAGGCGGAACUCCCGGUGUAGCGGUGGAAUGCGCAGAUAUCGGGAGGAACACCGGUGGCGAAGGCGGCCUUCUGGGCCACGACUGACGCUGAGGAGCGAAAGCUGGGGGAGCGAACAGGAUUAGAUACCCGAGUAGUC
rnacentral:rRNA from 1 species